UUCUUUUUGCGAAUACAGACUAACACGGCUGUUACUCUGAAACCUGUGAUGAGAAAACAAUCGCUCUCUCAAUUUUGUGAGGGGAUAGUGUUAAGUUCUCAUCUUUUACAUUUUUUAAAUUGAGAAUAGCAUCUAGGUUUCCCGACUCCCAGUCCUGUGCUUUAACAAGGUCAUCUUUUCCUCUCAAGAAGCUCAGAGUAACUUUCAGCUCAUCGCUUACGUGGAAUACUGUCUGUCAGCUCAUUCAAAAGAGUUCUAAAGCUUCAAAAUCUAAAGUCUCUAAAAAGAUCCAUUUCAGCUUCUUGGGAAAAAAGAAUUGAACAUCAUAUCUGCAGAGCAGUAACCUGAGCUUCAUCUCAUCCCAGCAUAAAGUACUAUAAAGAAGCUGUUUCUUCCUUAACUAAGCCCUGGUCUACACUAGGAGUUGAGGUCGAAUUUAGCAGUGUUAAAUCGAUUUAACCCUGUACCCGUCCACAUGACGAAGCCCUUUUUUUUUUUUUUUUUUUUUUUACUUAAAGGGCUCUUAAAAUCGAUUUCCU